CAUCCUAUCCAACCAGCCGCCAAGCAUCUACUACUGCUCCCACUGGAUAUGUAACCCAUCUGACUCCCUUCGCUUCCUGUUCUUCCCUUGAUAUUAUCAAUUUGUGUGCAAAUGCUCUUUUUCAGUAACUUAGUUACGGACUCUGAUUUUAUUCUUGUUUCAUGUAGGCACUUAUAUAUGAAUAGCGUGCAUACAUCUGCACAACUGCAUAACAGUCACAAAUGAUUGUUUUGUGAAUCUGCAGAGAAUCUAAUUAUCCAUGUACGGCAAUAGCCAGAUUAAUUUGUUUACCCAAAAUUAUCAAGCGGUUCCAUUAUAUAUAUUCACUUUGGAAGGCAAAAAUUAUAUGUUGGCUGGUUGCCCGAGAAAUCAAAAAGGCUAAAUCUUGAGUUGUAUGGAGCAUGGUCAUUUGCUUGAAGUUUCCAAUGGACUGUAUAUACCAUUGAAUGAGAGGAAUUAUUCCAUGAGUGUGGACAAAUUGAGCUGAUCGAUUGAUUGAGAAAAUAUUGUGUGGAUGUUCUCAGAUCUCCUUGCUCCACUACUCCUUGGAUUAUUACCUUUGUCCAUAUAUUUUGGUUUAUCUGAGCUGAAGAUAUAACCUGCAAAUCUGCACAUGCUUUUGCCAAUGUAUCCAUCCUGAUAUUUCUUAUAAUGUGGAAGUUAUCAGAGCCCUUUUUUAAGCAUCCACUUUGAGUUCACCGGUGGCAGGUAGCUUGUACAAUACUGAAUUUUCAAGGUAA